rnacentral:rRNA from 1 species
CCUACGGGAGGCAGCAGUGGGGAAUUUUGGACAAUGGGCGCAAGCCUGAUCCAGCCAUGCCGCGUGUGGGAAGAAGGCCUUCGGGUUGUAAACCACUUUUGUCAGGGAAGAAACGGCUCUUACUAAUAUUAGGGGCUAAUGACGGUACCUGAAGAAUAAGCACCGGCUAACUACGUGCCAGCAGCCGCGGUAAUACGUAGGGUGCAAGCGUUAAUCGGAAUUACUGGGCGUAAAGCGUGCGCAGGCGGCUUUGCAAGACAGAUGUGAAAUCCCCGGGCUCAACCUGGGAACUGCAUUUGUGACUGCAUGGCUAGAGUACGGUAGAGGGGGAUGGAAUUCCGCGUGUAGCAGUGAAAUGCGUAGAUAUGCGGAGGAACACCGAUGGCGAAGGCAAUCCCCUGGACCUGUACUGACGCUCAUGCACGAAAGCGUGGGGAGCAAACAGGAUUAGAUACCCUGGUAGUCCACGCCCUAAACGAUGUCAACUGGUUGUUGGACGGCUUGCUGUUCAGUAACGAAGCUAACGCGUGAAGUUGACCGCCUGGGGAGUACGGCCGCAAGGUUGAAACUCGAAAUGAAAUUGACCGG